UACGUAGGUGGCAAGCGUUGUCCGGAAUUACUGGGUGUAAAGCGCGUGUAGGCGGCAGACCAAGUCGGCGGUGAAAGCGCCCGGCUCAACUGGGCGAGGUCCGUGGAAACUGGUCAGCUGGAGGACGGUAGAGGCGAGUGGAAUUCCCGGUGUAGUGGUGAAAUGCGUAGAGAUCGGGAGGAACACCUGUGGCGAAGGCGGCUCGCUGGGCCGGUCCUGACGCUGAGGCGCGAAAGCUAGGGAGCAACAGG
rnacentral:rRNA from 1 species